rnacentral:tRNA from 1 species
ACCGCGGUGCAGGAGGAGAAUCGCACGUUGUCGUUGUAGACGGCGACGGCCUCUUCGUAUCCGGUGAUCAUCACGACGUCGUGGUG